UUAGUACUACCUCCGUCCAAGGAUGUCUCAACUUUGAUUAAGUUUGAAUAUAUCUAUACAUUAAAUCAUGUCUAGAUACAUUCAAAUUUUGACAAAUUUCAGACAUCUUUUGUGGGACGGAGGGAGUACACA
rfam:Brachypodium distachyon strain Bd21 chromosome 5, whole genome shotgun sequence.